rnacentral:rRNA from 1 species
UACGGAGGAUCCAAGCGUUAUCCGGAUUUAUUGGGUUUAAAGGGUGCGUAGGCGGAUUAGUAAGUCAGUGGUGAAAGCCUGCAGCUUAACUGUAGAAUUGCCAUUGAUACUGCUAAUCUUGAGUAUAGUUGAGGUGGGCGGAAUAUGACAUGUAGCGGUGAAAUGCUUAGAUAUGUCAUAGAACACCGAUUGCGAAGGCAGCUCACUAAGCUAUUACUGACGCUGAGGCACGAAAGCGUGGGGAG